UCUGUAUUUUGUCUCACACAGAAGUCCGUCAUAAUUUGAAUAAUGCUGCCCACUGUACUUAAGAUUAUUUAUGAGGGUAACGAAUUAGAAGGCAUCACUAAAGAAACCCUUCUAAGCAGAAUCCAAAAAUUGCCACAUUUUAAAAGUACAUCAUAUGAUGAUUUAAAUUCCCAGUUCAAUUUGGCGCUUGACGACGGUCGACGGUUUGGUUUGCUAUCGGUGAAAGGCAGUCGGGUCAAAUUGCUGUACAAUUUCUACGCAAGAGAAGAGUCACGAAACUUUUCAGCGCUACUGUUGAUGAUGAAGGAAAACCUAGACAAUGAUAUGGAUGUAGAAGGCGGAAGUCACAUCUCGACACCCUUAGAAUCUGGCGUAUUUGUACCAGGGCAGCAGUGCGACCCGCCAAAUCGCACUAAAAACAGUCGCGUUACGUUUGCUAGGGAUUUUCCAGAUCAAGAGAUGAGUGAUUUGGAACAUUUCGGAGUAGGCACAAAGAGAAGAUUCGGCGGUGCGUUGUCUAACAUUGACCAGGGACAAAGUAGCAGUUUUAAGUUACAUCGUAACGGCAGACGAGCUAUUUUGCUGUUAUCAUCCUGGUUUAGCCUGGGUCCAGUUACUAGAAGCUUGUUGAUAAUAUUAUUGUUAUGUUUAUUUUUGAAAUGGUGUGAUGCUUACUAAAUUUUAAGCGAAGGCAUCAGGGUUUACAGUCUUGGUAUUUUACAAAAUAAAUAAUGCAGUGUUGUGUAAAA